GUGGUCCUUGUGCCACGUGGUAGAUUACACGCGAACCAAAUUUCUUGCUGAUCGGCGGUGACAAUGUUUGCUACGUAGCCUACGGACCAGGUGAGGUUGGUGUACGGCUAUACAGCUAUUGAAAGCCAUCUAGAGCUCGUGGCAUCAUUGUCAGUCCAGUCUCAUUGGGUUCCGUCCUUAUCUCUCGAUCUUGGUUCUUGGCCCAAGCUGUCACGUAUGCAUGGGUGGUGAAUGGCUUUAGCUGCUUGAAUGUACGGGGUGAUGGCACUCCUUGAAGAAGCCAGCCGGCCUUCAGCUCAACUGUUGGGCGACGACCUCUUCGUCUUGGAUGCUGUAAAGAUCAGUAUGCUGCUCACAGUUGCCCUUUCCGAUGCGCUUCCCGGAUAUCCCCUCAUACGCUAGGUCGCCGUGCUGAGAAGAUAUAGGCGCCGUCACGCUGCGCUAGAAAGGCACGCCAUAUGAGCACCGUGGAUGGACCGAACGCAUCUGGAAGUCAGAUGCAUCGUCGAUUAUUUCCUGUAGAGCACACAGGCAUCAUGCAUUUAACCAAGGUCCUCAAUUACGCGCCCGGACAUUGUACUUUACAGUUCUCGCCAUCCAACGCUUGCCAUGAAAUGCUGACUGACGCUAAAGUCCAGGACUAUCAAGAGGUCCGAAAAACUGCUAUUGAACCUAUAACUGAAAUCUUUAACUCAUCUGGGUACUCUUCCCGCAGCUAUCCGCUUGCCUGAAGCUCGCUUCCCGCUCGCCACGCUGGACACUGCUACUAUACAGCUAUCGCCCACCGCUGCUGCUGCUGUCGUCACAGCUGUGCGGUUCAGCGGUUAUUGCUCUGGAAUAUUCGGUCACGCCUAUACGCAUGUACCGGAGAUCGCAAGGACAAAACCAAAAUCAAGCUAGCCUCGCCAGUCUCGAGAGCCGCUGGAUUCGCACGCGCGAGGGCAAAAAGGACCCCUUAAUCCACACACACCCAAAACACACGGACUGCCUCUACCCUUCUAGUAGCUUCUUUCCUAGGGGCCGGCCCCUUCCACAGGCCAAAGCCUGCUGCCCCCCAUCCAGGCGGGUGCCAUCCCCAUAGAUCUAUGGAAACGAUCGGUGUAACAUCCUGACAACCGCCAUAGAACCCCACACACCAAACUCCUGAGAUGGCCGCCACACUUCCCGCUCCUCCUGCUCUCGGGACCCUAGCCCUUGCUAGUUCGUUCACUGGCAUGCACGUUUACGACACCCACACGCAUUAUCCCUAGUCACCCCCUGCACCCGCUGGGGCACCUCCCACCUCCCUCCCUCCUCACCCAAAUCAAGGCGGCCCAAAUGCCCAGCAAUGUUUUAAGUCGCAAACAAGCCCCCCAUACCACCCCUUAGUCUUUCCCUGUGAAGGCCUUACCAAGCAGGGUCGAAAGGCUUCUAGGGAGAAAAUACCGCCGAGCUAAGACUUGCCACUAGAUUGGGAGUUGGUAGGGGCUAGCUAGCAGACUGCAACAAGCCGCCAGUUUGCGGGAGCCUCCUUGAUCGCCCCACGCUGUAGUAACCGCAAGCUCCACCAGCACCGCUGGUGACCAAGAAAUGUGAGGAGAGGGGCUGAAGAGUCACCCAAACUCUCCUCCUCUCUCCCAUUCUUUCAGGGUUGGUCUCUACUUGGGGUUUUCCUACCAGUUGACAUCCAUCUCGUGUGGGUUCUG
rnacentral:lncRNA from 1 species